rnacentral:rRNA from 1 species
UACGAAGGGGGCGAGCGUUGUUCGGAAUUACUGGGCGUAAAGGGCGCGCAGGCGGCCCUUGAAGUCAGGCGUGAAAGCCCCGGGCUCAACCUGGGAGGUGCGCUUGAUACUCGAGGGCUUGAGUGCGGGAGAGGAGAGUGGAAUUCCUGGUGUAGCAGUGAAAUGCGUAGAUAUCAGGAGGAAUACCGAUGGCGAAGGCAGGUCUCUGGGCUGACACUGACGCUCAUGCACGAAAGCGUGGGGAGCAAACAGG